rnacentral:misc_RNA from 1 species
UCGAUGCCUUACAUGCAGACCAACUCGUGAAUCUGUUUGAAUACACGGGGAUGGCUCGGGGUGUUCGGCACCACGGCCUCCCUUUGGGUAGGAGGGGCGCGCAUUGCGUUCCCCUCCUUCCCGAACACAAACCCCGGCGCUGAAUGCGCCAAGGAACAAAAAUUUGAUCAGUGCGCCCCGUCGGCCCGGAGACGGUGCUCCGGCGGUGGUGCCUUGWUCACAUGAUAC